rnacentral:rRNA from 1 species
UACGAAGGGGGCUAGCGUUGCUCGGAAUCACUGGGCGUAAAGCGCACGUAGGCGGUUUGCUAAGUCAGGGGUGAAAUCCUGGAGCUCAACUCCAGAACUGCCUUUGAUACUGGCGACCUUGAGUCCGGGAGAGGUGAGCGGAACUGCGAGUGUAGAGGUGAAAUUCGUAGAUAUUCGCAAGAACACCAGUGGCGAAGGCGGCUCACUGGCCCGGUACUGACGCUGAGGUGCGAAAGCGUGGGGAGCAAACAGG